UACGGAGGGUGCCAGCGUUGUUCGGAAUCACUGGGCGUAAAGCGCGUGUAGGCGGCCUCUUAAGUCUGGUGUGAAAGCCCGGGGCUCACCCCCGGAAGGGCACUGGAUACUGGGAGGCUAGAGUACCGGAGAGGAGGGUGGAAUUCCUGGUGUAGCGGUGAAAUGCGUAGAUAUCAGGAGGAACACCGGUGGCGAAGGCGGCCCUCUGGACGGCUACUGACGCUGAGACGCGAAAGCGUGGGGAGCGAAAGGG
rnacentral:rRNA from 1 species